rnacentral:rRNA from 1 species
UUCGCCCUUAGAGUUUGAUCCUGGCUCAGGACGAACGCUGGCGGCGCGCCUAACACAUGCAAGUCGAACGAGCGAGAGAGAGCUUGCUUUCUCGAGCGAGUGGCGAACGGGUGAGUAACGCGUGAGGAACCUGCCUCAAAGAGGGGGACAACAGUUGGAAACGACUGCUAAUACCGCAUAAGCCCACGGGUCGGCAUCGACCAGAGGGAAAAGGAGCAAUCCGCUUUGAGAUGGCCUCGCGUCCGAUUAGCUAGUUGGUGAGGUAACGGCCCACCAAGGCGACGAUCGGUAGCCGGACUGAGAGGUUGAACGGCCACAUUGGGACUGAGACACGGCCCAGACUCCUACGGGAGGCAGCAGUGGGGAAUAUUGCACAAUGGGGGAAACCCUGAUGCAGCGACGCCGCGUGGAGGAAGAAGGUCUUCGGAUUGUAAACUCCUGUUGUUGAGGAAGAUAAUGACGGUACUCAACAAGGAAGUGACGGCUAACUACGUGCCAGCAGCCGCGGUAAAACGUAGGUCACAAGCGUUGUCCGGAAUUACUGGGUGUAAAGGGAGCGCAGGCGGGAAGACAAGUUGGAAGUGAAAUCCAUGGGCUCAACCCAUGAACUGCUUUCAAAACUGUUUUUCUUGAGUAGUGCAGAGGUAGGCGGAAUUCCCCGGUGUAGCGGUGGAAUGCGUAGAUAUCGGGAGGAACACCAGUGGCGAAGGCGGCCUACUGGGCACCAACUGACGCUGAGGCUCGAAAGUGUGGGUAGCAAACAGGAUUAGAUACCCUGGUAGUCCACACCGUAAACGAUGAUUACUAGGUGUUGGAGGAUUGACCCCUUCAGUGCCGCAGUUAACACAAUAAGUAAUCCACCUGGGGAGUACGACCGCAAGGUUGAAACUCAAAGGAAUUGACGGGGGCCCGCACAAGCAGUGGAGUAUGUGGUUUAAUUCGACGCAACGCGAAGAACCUUACCAAGUCUUGACAUCCCUUGACGAUGCUGGAAACAGUAUUUCUCUUCGGAGCAAGGAGACAGGUGGUGCAUGGUUGUCGUCAGCUCGUGUCGUGAGAUGUUGGGUUAAGUCCCGCAACGAGCGCAACCCUUAUGGUCAGUUACUACGCAAGAGGACUCUGGCCAGACUGCCGUUGACAAAACGGAGGAAGGUGGGGAUGACGUCAAAUCAUCAUGCCCUUUAUGACUUGGGCUACACACGUACUACAAUGGCGUUAAACAAAGAGAAGCAAGACCGCGAGGUGGAGCAAAACUCAGAAACAACGUCCCAGUUCGGACUGCAGGCUGCAACUCGCCUGCACGAAGUCGGAAUUGCUAGUAAUCGUGGAUCAGCAUGCCACGGUGAAUACGUUCCCGGGCCUUGCACACACCGCCCGUCA